UACGUAGGGCGCAAGCGUUGUCCGGAAUUAUUGGGCGUAAAGAGCUCGUAGGUGGCGUGUCGCGUCUGCCGUGAAAGCCCAUGGCUUAACUGUGGGUCUGCGGUGGAUACGGGCAGGCUGGAGGCUGGUAGGGGCAAGCGGAAUUCCUGGUGUAGCGGUGAAAUGCGCAGAUAUCAGGAGGAACACCGGUGGCGAAGGCGGGUCUCUGGGCCGAUAUUGACGCUGAGGAGCGAAAGCGUGGGGAGCAAACAGG
rnacentral:rRNA from 1 species